GACGAACGCUGGCGGCGUGCUUAACACAUGCAAGUCGAACGGAAAGGCCCUGCUUGCAGGGUACUCGAGUGGCGAACGGGUGAGUAACACGUGAGCAAUCUGCCCCUGACUCUGGGAUAAGCGCUGGAAACGGCGUCUAAUACUGGAUACGAGCUGCGAAGGCAUCUUCAGCAGCUGGAAAGAACUUCGGUCAGGGAUGAGCUCGCGGCCUAUCAGCUUGUUGGUGAGGUAACGGCUCACCAAGGCGUCGACGGGUAGCCGGCCUGAGAGGGUGACCGGCCACACUGGGACUGAGACACGGCCCAGACUCCUACGGGAGGCAGCAGUGGGGAAUAUUGCACAAUGGGCGAAAGCCUGAUGCAGCAACGCCGCGUGAGGGACGACGGCCUUCGGGUUGUAAACCUCUUUUAGCAGGGAAGAAGCGAAAGUGACGGUACCUGCAGAAAAAGCGCCGGCUAACUACGUG
rnacentral:rRNA from 1 species